CAGAGUUUCACUUUGGACCGGAGUGGGAAAGCUCCAGAAUUCAGCCUCUUAUUAAGUAGUCUUGGCAAAUCCUCAUUUUGCAAACAGAUAAUGUAGGGAUUAUACGUGGGAUGAGUUCUGACUGACUGGUGCCAAAGAAGCGAAUGAGUGAAGAGUCCUGAAGUUCCUGACCCCCUGUUGGCGGAGGGCACGUGCCAAAAGCCUCUGGAUCUUCAUCCUAGGCCUGGAGUGUGUGUGAAGAACACCUGGAGCUGCAGAGGUGUAAUUAUGUGAUCAUCAGGCAUCUAUCUUCAGCAAAGGGGCAGCAAAAUAUACAGAAAGGCAUGAAGUACAAGAAGUGGGCUGUAGUCCACGAAAGCUUAUGCUCUAAUAAAUUUGUUAGUCUCUAAGGUUCCACAAGUACUCCUGUUCUUUUUACAGAUUAUACUGGCUCCAAUGGUUUAUUUGUGAAAUUCACAGGGGAAUCUUCAACAUGUGUUAGACUGAGGUAAAUAGA